GACGAACGCUGGCGGCGUGCUUAACACAUGCAAGUCGAACGGAAAGGCCCUGCUUUUGUGGGGUGCUCGAGUGGCGAACGGGUGAGUAACACGUGAGUAACCUGCCCUUGACUUUGGGAUAACUUCAGGAAACUGGGGCUAAUACCGGAUCGGAGCUCCUGCUGCAUGGUGGGGGUUGGAAAGUUUCGGCGGUUGGGGAUGGACUCGCGGCUUAUCGGCUUGUUGGUGGGGUAGUGGCUUACCAAGGCUUUGACGGGUAGCCGACCUGAGAGGGUGACCGGCCACAUUGGGACUGAGAUACGGCCCAGAGUCCUACGGGGGGCAGCAGGGGGAAAUAUUGCACAAUGGGCAGAAGCCUAAUGCAGCAACGCCGCGUGCGUGAAGUCGGCCUUCCGGUUGUGAACCGAUUACGCCUGUGACGAAGCGUGAGUGACGGUAAUGGGUAAAGAAGCACCGGCUAACUACGUG
rnacentral:rRNA from 1 species